rnacentral:snoRNA from 1 species
UUUGUCUGAAAAGCUCUGUUGACUAAAAAUUAUGCGUUAUCUUUCUGAUG